AGUACGACCGCAAGGUUAAAACUCAAAUGAAUUGACGGGGACCCGCACAAGUAGUGGAGCAUGUGGUUUAAUUCGAAGAUACGCGCAGAACCUUACCAACACUUGACAUGUUCGUCGCGACUUUAAGAGAUUAAAGUUUUCGGUUCGGCCGGACGAAACACAGGUGCUGCAUGGCUGUCGUCAGCUCGUGUCGUGAGAUGUUGGGUUAAGUCCCGCAACGAGCGCAACCCUCACUUUUAGUUGCCAUCAUUAAGUUGGGCACUCUGAAAGAACUGCCAGUGAUAAGCUGGAGGAAGGUGGGGAUGACGUCAAGUCCUCAUGGCCCUUACGUGUUGGGCUACACACGUGCUACAAUGGUAUCUACAACAGGAAGCAAAACGGCGACGUUAAGCAAAUCCUCAAAAGAUACCUCAGUUCGGAUUGCACUCUGCAACUCGAGUGCAUGAAGCUGGAAUUACUAGUAAUCGUGGAUCAGCGUGCCACGGUGAAUGCGUUCCCGGGUCUUGUACACACCGCCCGUCACACCAUGGGAGUUGGUUCUACCUUAAGGCAAGGUUUCAAACCCUUGACCACGGUAUAGUCAGCGACUGGGGUGAAGUCGUAACAAGGUAACC
rnacentral:rRNA from 1 species